UACGUAGGGUGCGAGCGUUGUCCGGAAUCAUUGGGCGUAAAGCGCGUGUAGGCGGCCAGAAAAGUCCGCUGUGAAAACUCGAGGCUCAACUUCGAGCUGUCGGUGGAAACUUUCUGGCUAGAGUCCGGAAGAGGAGAAUGGAAUUCCUGGUGUAGCGGUGAAAUGCGCAGAUAUCAGGAAGAACACCCGUGGCGAAGGCGGUUCUCUGGGACGGUACUGACGCUGAGACGCGAAAGCGUGGGGAGCGAACAGG
rnacentral:rRNA from 1 species